UAUCUGUCUGCUCUACAGACACGUUUUCAUUUGUUCACUGUUAAAGUAUUUCCCUGGGUCGCCCACUGCUGACUCGGAACCUCCGACUGUUGAGACUGCAUCCAGUUUCUAGAACCUUUACUUUACCUUUAAGCACCGCUACCUCCACCAUCGUCUCUUCCUGAGAACGCCUAAUGCUCCUUUGGCUGUUCUGGUCCCCCAUCCUUUUUUGAACAGAUUCGAUGUGAUUCUGCCUCAGUCAUGAGAAGAUAGAUGAACAUUACCACCACCAUGAUGCUAUGUCCCAGGAGACAGCCUGCCCUUAUGAUUGAGGCGUGACUAUUCCAGUGUUGAGUCGAGAGGUGCUUAAGAAUCCUACUUCCUUGCUGAGGAGCCACUGAGAGUUGACGGCUGUGAUUGAUGGGGGAGGCCCAACGAGUUGUGGGUAGGACAGCCAUGGCCUGGUGGUCCGAGGUUCUGAAAGAAAGCAGGCUGAGCAAUCCAGUAAGCAGCACCACUCUAUGGCCUCCACAUCAGCUCCUGCCUCCAUGUUCCUGCCCUGUUUGAGCUCUUGCCUUGGCUUCCUUCAGUGGACAAUCUGUGGUUUGGAAUAUAUAUAAGCCGAAUAAAUGAUUUCCUUCUCAAGUUGCUUUUGAUCAUGAUGUUUCAUUACAGCAAUAGUAAUGCUAAGUAAAACAGGAGGUUAGGGGAUGGAUUUGACCAAAAUAAAUUGUGUGUAUGGAAUUCUCAAAUAAUAAAUAACAAUAAUUCUAAAGGUUAUGGGGAUUGGUCAAUUGGGAGAAUGUGUCCUAGCAUAAAUGAAUUGCUAAGUUCAGUUCCUAGCACUGCAUAAAAUGGGUGUGGUAGCAAAAGCUUGCAAUCCUAGAACUUAGGACAUAGAAACAGGAAGAUUCAAGAAUUCAAGGUCAUCUUCGUCUAUAUAGUGAGUUUGAGGUAGCCUGGGCUACCCGAGAUCCUUUCAGGAAGGAAAGAAGGAGUUGGUGGGGGAAGAAAGGAAGAAAUAUUGGUAAAAUACACAGAAGACAAGAAAUAAAUAAUCUCCAACACAUCCUACCCUUAGUCACUGUGUGGGUGGCUUGUCUGAGUCUAGGGACCCCAGUUAACACAAGCCACAUUAACAGGACCAAACCCCACAAGUAUCAUACACAUUCAUGGUGAUUUUCACCAGAGUGAAGUCCAAAGCAUGGCGCCUCUACACAUUUUAGACAAAGAGCAAUAUGUUUGAGAAGGAAUGACAAGACAGAUGGGUCUCUGACUGGGGGAGUAAACUCCAGGCUGUCACUAGGAGAUAUAUGGGGCCGUCAGCCUAGGGGGAGAUAAGGGCUACUUCAGGGUGUUUACACAGGUUCAGGGCAGCCCAGUCACCAGUCUGUGGUCAUCAAGGCUCUGUGUUAGCCUUGGUGUGUGAAGAAUGGCCCUUCCUAAAGAAUCAACUGUUGCUGCGUGUGGGAGAAUGCCAAAUGGAUCUAUAUGGUAUUUAAUUCUACCCUCUAUAUUCAUGUUCAAAAAAUUUACACACUUAUCCUCAAGGGAUUUCAGCCUGAGAUAGUCAGUACACCAGUGUGUGUGUGUAUGUGUGUGUGUGUGUGUGUG